CCCAGAGGUCCGAGUGAGUGCCGACGUGCAGACAGCUGGGGAAACUUAACAGACACGUCUACAAACUCCUCGUGCUGAAAUUCCGUCCUCGGGCAAUGCUGUUACGAUCCUGACACUUGAUCCUAUAGAUUCUGGCCACAGGUUCGUUUAUAAUCUUGGACAGCCAAGACACCCAAAGCUCACCCUCUUUCUGAACACACGGAGAACACUCUCUGCCAUGAACCUGAAAGCUUAAUCUGGGAGCCAGCAGACCAAACCACGCUGGUAAGCAAGAAGCGGCACCAACCGUCUCCACAUAGGGGUCCCCCGUGAGGAGACCCUUCCUCAUAUAGACCUUCAGUGCCUGGCUUCUCACUCUCUAUCACAGUUGCCAGGCAACACCCCAGUUUUGGUUAAACCUGUACGACGGAGAUCAGCACCGGGAGAAAACAUACGUGAACAAAAGGAAUAAAAGGACUCUAGUUUUUGUACUUAUUUAUUCAUUCAUUUGGCCACGUUGCAUCCCGUCGCAGCAGGCAGGAUCUUUCACUGCUAAGUGUGACUUCUCUAGGUGCGGUGCCCGGACUCGGUGGUUGCAGUGAGUGGGUUCUCUGCAGUGGCUCAUGGGCUCCGGAGGGC
ensembl:lncRNA